GACGUAGGGCGCGAGCGUUGUCCGGAUUUAUUGGGCGUAAAGAGCUCGUAGGCGGCUUGUCACGUCGGGUGUGAAAGCCCGGGGCUUAACCCCGGGUCUGCAUUCGAUACGGGCUAGCUAGAGUGUGGUAGGGGAGAUCGGAAUUCCUGGUGUAGCGGUGAAAUGCGCAGAUAUCAGGAGGAACACCGGUGGCGAAGGCGGAUCUCUGGGCCAUUACUGACGCUGAGGAGCGAAAGCGGUGGGGAGCGAACAGG
rnacentral:rRNA from 1 species